rnacentral:lncRNA from 7 species
GAGCUCUCCGAGCUGAACGAGUUGACUUGGCAACCAGGGAAUGUUGGAGGAGAUGGGAGUGAAAGGCACUGGUUGGCUGCUGCACGUUAAUAAUGACUAAUGUUCAUACUGAUACCGAUCUGUGGCAAAACAAGUACUUCCUGUUCCUUGCUAUAUAAUGGAGAACACCUCUGAAAUUCGGAAGCUCAUCAGUGUGCCCCCAGUUCUGCAAGCUGGGUGAGACAAGGAUAAAUAUACGCUGCCAUUUGUCAAACAAAUAACUUGAUCAGUUCAUGUUCUGAUGUACUCCUUUAUUCUUAGGAGCUCCUGGGUGAUUUACCUUCACCAUAUAAGCCUUUCUAAUUUACAAAUUGUACUGGAAUGAUGUAUGAUACUGUAGUUGAUGGUGCAUUUUCCCAGGACCAAUUAUGGAAGAUGGACCUUACUGUUACUGCAUAUAGUUGGAUGAGGAUCAUGAUUUACAAUGUUACAGUCUGCAGGUCAUCUGGAGAAGUGAUGGACAUACGAUGCAGAGUUGGAUGUAGGACACUGCUAAAUGGAACCUUGUUCUGACCCAGUGUGGCUGCAUGUUUGUUCUUGAAUAUUCAACUUCAAGUUGUCAACUGAUUUCUGGAAAGACAAAUUCAGAGUUCCUAAUUCUGCUUCCUCCAGUGACAAUCUCUACAAAAGCACAUGGAGUGCUUUGCAAAAGAUUUACCCAAGAUAUGAAUUCAGCGCUGCUCCAAUGAAACCUGAUUACAUCAGGAACUGGGUCAACAGGAGCACAGGUCUAGAAAACUGUAAGGAUAGAACUCCAGCCCUGCUGGAGUGAGUAGGAGCUUUGCCCUUGAAUUCUGUGGGGCAAGGAUUUUACUCAGCGCUUUUAUCCUCCCUUUCUCUUCGUCCAAGAGCCAGGGAUGUGCAACUGGAAGAACAAGCUGUGAUUUUUGUGCUGAUAUAUGGGAAUUUUUCUGUACACAGCUAAAUUUCAGUAUUUGUUUGGGGAGAGCAUUUGGGUGUAAAUCGCAAAUUAAAAAUCUUUGAAUCUUGCUUAGACAAAGUUAUGUGAAGCAUGAACCUUCUUUUACUGCAGGGCAGAAAUGGACUGCCUGAGGACAGGAAGACAGUGUUUUGUGUUUGUGUUAUAGGUGACUGCUUAUUUUAUAAUUUCCUGAAGCAUGUAUGUUGAAUGAUGGCAGACUGGAUGGAUCACUGGUUUCAUUUGAUAAGAUCUUUGGUUAAAAUAGGCUUCCUGAAAAAAUACAAGCUCAUCUACACAUUGAAAAGAGGGGGAAAUAUUAAAAUAAUUGCUGCUUUAUGUGUUGAUGAAUUGAAUGUUACCAUAGAUACCCUGGUCUGUUUACAGCAAUAAUAAUAAAUAUUUUCAAU